AAUCAACGCUGGCGGCGUGCCUCAGACAUGCAAGUCGAACGCGAAAGUCCCCUUCGGGGGAUGAUUAGAGUGGCGCACGGGUGAGUAACACGUAGGUAAUCUACCUUCGAGUGGGGAAUAACUCAGGGAAACUUGAGCUAAUACCGCAUAAUGCAGCGGCACCACAUGGUGACAGUUGUUAAAGCAUUUAGUGCGCUUGAAGAGGAGCCUGCGGCAGAUAGCUAGUUGGUAAGGUAAUGGCUUACCAAGGCUACGAUCUGUAACCGGCCU
rnacentral:rRNA from 1 species